AGAUCCACUCUGCUGGAGUUUCAUGAGCAAGCCCAGGAUACAGUGGCUGAAUUGCUUUGGGGGCAGGUCAUACUUGAAUCAGUACGAAAAGAAAUCUUAACCAACAGAGCCACAAAGGUGGUGACACUGCAGAGAGGAACAAUGCACAUUCCUCCUCCUCUUCAGCACAGAGUCAGAUGGCUUAUCUUUGAGAGAGAUCCGGUUAAACAACAGUUUAUUUGGCAGCAGAGCUGCUGAACAGCACCUUUGUCUUACUAGCAGAACUCCCAGUCCGAACUCCAAUACAAAGCUUUAUCUUCCAGCAUACAACCAGUUUUUACAGCAGAACUGAAGCAGAGAAUUGCAGGCAGCCCCUUGCAUUUGCUCUGAAAGACCCAUAAAUCCAUUCUGAAAGACCAUAUUCCCAAGUCAUUCUACUGCAAGACAAGGGAAAAACUUUUCUGUGCACUUCUGAAAUCUGAAAGCAACUAAAACGUGGCCUCCUAAGAGCAAGAAAGAUAGAAGCCUUCCAUGCACCAGAAUUGGCCACUUCAUUCCCAAGUGCCACCUCCAUCAGCUGCCAACAACACUGAGCCAGGUGUGUGACCAAGGGAAGAUACAGUUCUGGCCAGGUCAGCAACAGCUCAAGCACUAAGCCUUGUUAGGGUACAGCAAGCAGCAGAACGCUCAUCACACCACAUGUUCUGCUCUCACAUGAAAAUACCAUGAAGUCAGCAGAGAUUUGAUCAAGUUUCCAAGUCUGGAUCAACUCUGGAGCAAGUUCCGAGCAGAAAAAAAUCCCAUCUAUUGCUAUACUUAUAAAAAAGCUUCUUUCUGAAAAUCCUGCUUGUCCUGCGGCUCUGCUGAAAAUGAUUCACUUGCCAGAAUAGACAGCCUCCCUUAUAUAAACUGCAACAGAAAGAUUUAACAACUUUCCUAAUAAAGAGUCUUAAAUAACUGCAGUUCUUUGGGCAUUACCCAUAUCAA